rnacentral:rRNA from 1 species
CGCCCAAAGGUUCCCUCAGAAUGGUUGGAAAUCAUUCGUAGAGUGUAAAGGCAGAAGGGAGCUUGACUGCGAGACCUACAAGUCGAGCAGGGACGAAAGUCGGGCUUAGUGAUCCGGUGGUUCCGAAUGGAAGGGCCAUCGCUCAACGGAUAAAAGCUACCCCGGGGAUAACAGGCUUAUCUCCCCCAAGAGUCCACAUCGACGGGGAGGUUUGGCACCUCGAUGUCGGCUCAUCGCAUCCUGGGGCUGUAGUCGGUCCCAAGGGUUGGGCUGUUCGCCCAUUAAAGCGGUACGCGAGCUGGGUUCAGAACGUCGUGAGACAGUUCGGUCCCUAUCCGUCGCGGGCGUAGGAAAUUUGAGAGGAGCUGUCCUUAGUACGAGAGGACCGGGAUGGACGCACCGCUGGUGUACCAGUUGUUCCGCCAGGAGCACAGCUGGGUAGCUAUGUGCGGAAGGGAUAAGCGCUGAAAGCAUCUAAGCGUGAAGCCCCCCUCAAGAUGAGAUUUCCCAUCGC